ACCGAGAUUCCCCCAGUAGCGGCGAGCGAACGGGGAGCAGCCCAGAGUCUGAAUCAGCUUGUGUGUUAGUGGAACGGUCUGGAAAGUCCGACGGUACAGGGUGAUAGUCCCGUACACCAAAAUGCACAGGCUGUGAACUCGAAGAGUAGGGCGGGACACGUGGUAUCCUGUCUGAAUAUGGGGGGACCAUCCUCCAAGGCUAAAUACUCCUGACUGACCGAUAGUGAACCAGUACCGUGAGGGAAAGGCGAAAAGAACCCCGGCGAGGGGAGUGAAAAAGAACCUGAAACCGUGUACGUACAAGCAGUGGGAGCACCUUCGGGUGUGACUGCGUACCUUUUGUAUAAUGGGUCAGCGACUUAUAUUCUGUAGCAAGGUUAACCGUAUAGGGGAGCCGCAGGGAAACCGAGUCUUAACUGGGCGUUAAGUUGCAGGGUAUAGACCCGAAACCCGGUGAUCUAGCCAUGGGCAGGUUGAAGGUUGGGUAACACUAACUGGAGGACCGAACCGACUAAUGUUGAAAAAUUAGCGGAUGACUUGUGGCUGGGGGUGAAAGGCCAAUCAAACCGGGAGAUAGCUGGUUCUCCCCGAAAGCUAUUUAGGUAGCGCCUCGUGAAUUCAUCUUCGGGGGUAGAGCACUGUUUCGGCUAGGGGGUCAUCCCGACUUACCAACCCGAUGCAAACUACGAAUACCGAAGAAUGUUAUCACGGGAGACACACGGCGGGUGCUAACGUCCGUCGUGAAGAGGGAAACAACCCAGACCGCCAGCUAAGGUCCCAAAGUCAUGGUUAAGUGGGAAACGAUGUGGGAAGGCACAGACAGCCAGGAUGUUGGCUUAGAAGCAGCCAUCAUUUAAAGAAAGCGUAAUAGCUCACUGGUCGAGUCGGCCUGCGCGGAAGAUGUAACGGGGCUAAACCAUGCACCGAAGCUGCGGCAGCGACACUAUGUGUUGUUGGGUAGGGGAGCGUUCUGUAAGCCUGCGAAGGUGUGCUGUGAGGCAUGCUGGAGGUAUCAGAAGUGCGAAUGCUGACAUAAGUAACGAUAAAGCGGGUGAAAAGCCCGCUCGCCGGAAGACCAAGGGUUCCUGUCCAACGUUAAUCGGGGCAGGGUGAGUCGACCCCUAAGGCGAGGCCGAAAGGCGUAGUCGAUGGGAAACAGGUUAAUAUUCCUGUACUUGGUGUUACUGCGAAGGGGGGACGGAGAAGGCUAUGUUAGCCGGGCGACGGUUGUCCCGGUUUAAGCAUGUAGGCUGGUUAUCCAGGCAAAUCCGGAUAAUCAAGGCUGAGGUGUGAUGACGAGGCACUACGGUGCUGAAGUAACAAAUGCCCUGCUUCCAGGAAAAGCCUCUAAGCAUCAGGUAACAUCAAAUCGUACCCCAAACCGACACAGGUGGUCAGGUAGAGAAUACCAAGGCGCUUGAGAGAACUCGGGUGAAGGAACUAGGCAAAAUGGUGCCGUAACUUCGGGAGAAGGCACGCUGGUGUGUAGGUGAAGCCCCUGCGGGUGGAGCUGAGACCAGUCGAAGAUACCAGCUGGCUGCAACUGUUUAUUAAAAACACAGCACUGUGCAAACACGAAAGUGGACGUAUACGGUGUGACGCCUGCCCGGUGCCGGAAGGUUAAUUGAUGGGGUUAUCCGUAAGGAGAAGCUCUUGAUCGAAGCCCCGGUAAACGGCGGCCGUAACUAUAACGGUCCUAAGGUAGCGAAAUUCCUUGUCGGGUAAGUUCCGACCUGCACGAAUGGCGUAAUGAUGGCCAGGCUGUCUCCACCCGAGACUCAGUGAAAUUGAACUCGCUGUGAAGAUGCAGUGUACCCGCGGCAAGACGGAAAGACCCCGUGAACCUUUACUAUAGCUUGACACUGAACAUUGAGCCUUGAUGUGUAGGAUAGGUGGGAGGCUUUGAAGCGUGGACGCCAGUCUGCGUGGAGCCAACCUUGAAAUACCACCCUUUAAUGUUUGAUGUUCUAACGUUGGCCCCUUACCGGGGUUGCGGACAGUGUCUGGUGGGUAGUUUGACUGGGGCGGUCUCCUCCCAAAGCGUAACGGAGGAGCACGAAGGUUAGCUAAUCCUGGUCGGACAUCAGGAGGUUAGUGCAAUGGCAUAAGCUAGCUUGACUGCGAGCGUGACGGCGCGAGCAGGUGCGAAAGCAGGUCAUAGUGAUCCGGUGGUUCUGAAUGGAAGGGCCAUCGCUCAACGGAUAAAAGGUACUCCGGGGAUAACAGGCUGAUACCGCCCAAGAGUUCAUAUCGACGGCGGUGUUUGGCACCUCGAUGUCGGCUCAUCACAUCCUGGGGCUGAAGUAGGUCCCAAGGGUAUGGCUGUUCGCCAUUUAAAGUGGUACGCGAGCUGGGUUUAGAACGUCGUGAGACAGUUCGGUCCCUAUCUGCCGUGGGCGCUGGAGAAUUGAGGGGGGCUGCUCCUAGUACGAGAGGACCGGAGUGGACGCAUCACUGGUGUUCGGGUUGUCAUGCCAAUGGCACUGCCCGGUAGCUAAAUGCGGAAGAGAUAAGUGCUGAAAGCAUCUAAGCACGAAACUUGCCCCGAGAUGAGUUCUCCCUGAGACUU
rnacentral:rRNA from 1 species